AUUCUAUGGUGGGGGCAUUGUUGCAGAAGGUUUUUGUAACAAUCCCAAGAUUCAAAUAGAGACUCCCCAUCAUUUUGUAUGGAAUUAGUGAUAAAAUAUCUCAUAUG